GAUUGCACUUAAUUAACAACCUCUCUGCAAUCGCGGCUG
rnacentral:ncRNA from 1 species